rnacentral:misc_RNA from 1 species
AAAGAAUGGAGAAAGAAGAGAUUGAAGAAGAGAGCAGUAAUAGAGUGGGUUUGUUGAAGAGAUGUACUACUGGUGGAAGUACAGGGUCAACAAGGUGGGUAGAUGGUAGUGAAGUGGACUCUGAAUCAUCGCAAUCAUGGUCACUUUUUGGUGAUGAAGAAAUUACCAAACAAGGUUAUGGAUCUGUUAGAAGAAGACUGGUUAAAAAACCUAAAAGACUUGAUUCUUUUGAUGUUGAAGCCAU